rnacentral:rRNA from 1 species
CCAUAGCGUAUAUUAAAGUUGUUGCAGUUAAAAAGCUCGUAGUUGGAUUUCGGGGCAGCCUGGCUGGUCCGCCGCAAGGCGAGUACUGGUCAGCCGCCCUUCCUCUCGAAAGCCCCGACUGCUCUUUAUUGCAGUGGUCGGGUAGUUCGGGACGUUUACUUUGAAAAAAUUAGAGUGUUCAAGGCAGGCCUACGCCUGAAUACAUUAGCAUGGAAUAAUGGAAGAGGACCUCGGUCCUAUUUUGUUGGUUUCCAGGACCGAAGUAAUGAUUAAGAGGGACAGUUGGGGGCAUUCGUAUUUAAUUGUCAGAGGUGAAAUUCUCGGAUUUAUGAAAGACGAACAACUGCGAAAGCAUUUGCCAAGGAUGUUUUCAUUAA